CUGAUUAUCGUUUAGCUCAAAAGUGUAUCUCUAAUUCAUUCCUUGCUUAUUCUGUUUUGCAGGUACAAGUUUCAGACAGACAAGACAUGGCUUUUUAUCUUCCAAGAAGUGAUAUUGAUGUUGUGAUUCAGCAGAGAAUGCUCAGCGUGAUGCAGCAAUGGAUAGUGUUAGAAGUGUUAUUCAUUAUAUCUGGCCUGAUUGCAAGGUAGAAGUUCUUGGCUCAUACAAAACAUGUCUUUAUCUUCCAACAAGUAAUAUCUAUCUCAUCUCAAUGGUCUUAACCAAGCGGGAUCUGAUGGCCUCAAGGCUAAAAGUCCGGGGACGGUGAAGACUAUCUGCUGAGAGGCAGAAGAUGUUGGAAGACAUAGAACGAGACUUCAAAGCUGCUAAGAGACUGUAUGCUUGAAGAAAUUGAAUGUGAAUUCGAAGCUGCUAAGAGAAGGUAGCAAAAGGGUGGGUCCUUAGCCUCAGAGACAUUAGGUUUAAGAGUGGAGUAGUUCCAAGCUCCGGUGUGUGACUGGAAGACGGUGACGUUGGAGUAAUCGUUGUGACUCGGUCGUAGUGUGGUGCGGCGUAAGGAGAUAGAACUUUAGGUAUAGAAUUUUAUGUGUAGGUUUAAUUUUCAAAUUUAUUUUGGAAAAAAAAUUGGUUUAGUUAAAUUAGUUUGUAUACCGGUCAUAAAUAUGUAAACAAUUUCAAUAUAUAAAUUUUGAAAAUAUUUU